AUUGUUUCUCCGCCUUUUGGGUAAGAUCAAAUGUAGUAUCUGUUCUUAUCAGUUCAGUACCUGAUAUGCCCCCCAUGGAGGAUGACUGUGUAUUAUACACAUUUUUGGCACAGGGACCCAGAACUGGUGGCUUGCCUCGUCCACUCCACACAUGGACCCGGUUUUGUGGUGCUUGCCGGAACGGCCCACCCCUG